rnacentral:rRNA from 1 species
CAUGUGCACACCUAACACCAACCUUUUUACCACCUGUGCACCUUUUGUAGACCUGGAUAUCUCUCGAGGAAACUCGGUAUGAGGACUGCUGUGCGUCAAGCCGGCUUUCCUUACAUUUCCGGUCUAUGUUUUUAUAUACACCUUCAGCAUGUCUAUGAAUGUUAUUAUUGGGCUUAACUGUCCUAUAAACUUAUACAACUUUCAACAACGGAUCUCUUGGCUCUCGCAUCGAUGAAGAACGCAGCGAAAUGCGAUAAGUAAUGUGAAUUGCAGAAUUCAGUGAAUCAUCGAAUCUUUGAACGCACCUUGCGCUCCUUGGUAUUCCGAGGAGCAUGCCUGUUUGAGUGUCAUGAAAUUCUCAACCUUUUCGGCUUCUUCUAGCUGAUUUAGGCUUGGAUGUGGGGGUUUGCGGGCUUCUCUGAAGUCGGCUCCUCUUAAAUGCAUUAGUAGGGACCUCUGUUGCCUCAGCUUUUGGUGUGAUAGUUAUCUACGCCAUUCUGCGAAGCAGCUUUAAAAUGGGGUUACUGCUUUCUAACCGUCUCUGCUGAGACAACUUCUGACAAUUUGACCUCAAAUCAGGUAGGACUACCCGCUGAACUUAAGCAUAU